ACCAAAACAAUUCAUACCAGGAGGCAGAGGCUGAAUGAAGGCUCCGUAGGCAUGCCACACCUGCCCUGUGCUAAGCCCCUGCUCAGUAGCAGGAGCUUCUCAAAAAUGACAUAGCUUCUAUCCUGGCCAACUAUUUUAGACCUUCUUUGAAACAAGGUAAAGUAAAGAAGCAUCGUGGCUCAGGCCUGUAGCUCCUGCUGGUGUGGAGGUUGAAGCAAGUGAAUUGUCUACAUUAAGUCUCUCUUUCUGUGCUAUGACUUGGGAAAUCCACCUAGCCCUAUGUUCAGUUUCAAGUUGCAGAGGUGAUCCUUACCAGAGUGGGAAUUGGAGCCAUGGAGACCUUGGAGCCAGAAUUUCAGAUGAGAUAUUACAGCCUGCCAGCCUGGCAGGGAAGCCCUGAGAAGCCAGGGUACCUGGGACUCUAGUCCAAGGAAGGUUUUGGACUUGGAAACUGGGAAUGUGCUCUAUAGGAAUUGAAUUUAGCUACAAACCUAAUCCCCUACCCCUCCCUAGAGACUCAGGUGGUGAAAGUACAGAGGAGAAUUAAGCUCCAUGUGUUGAGGAGUAAAUUUUAUGUUUGAGAUAAUACGUUUGGAAAUGAAUAUUCCUUUGUGAAAACGAAUCUGUUAGUGGUUAAAUGGAACUGAGAUGCUGGGGACUCCUACAAUUUGGAGAACACCAUCAAUGGGGGCUGGACCCAAUGGCAGAAAAUUUAGAUGUCUCCCAAUCUGCCUUGAUGGUAUCAGAAUACUCUGGGGGAAGAAUGAAAUUUAAUUCAUCUGGCCUCCCAGGAAAUGAGGUCGAAGGGGGGUGAAUGUUACACAUUGAGACCUUGUCUGGGAUAAAAUUGGGCCCUUUGCUUUGCAGAGAGUUGAUUUUUUUUUUUGAGAUACCCUACACUGGUGUUCUCCCAAUUAUAGGGGGCCAUCCCUGGCUUUUGUCAAUGAGGCUACUGCCAUCCUCAUGUAGGAUGGGAGGGGACCCCUUCCAAGAGAAGGGUUACUCCAUGUUAUGUGAUCUGAGAAUACUCCAAAAACCCCUUAUACAUAUAUAACCAAAAGCUAUUUAUUCCAUAAUAGGUUAGUGAUCAAAGGAUAUGAAGAAACGGUUGCCUGAAAGAUUGCUCUGGAUCAUGAAUAAUAAAAUAAAUUCAAAUAAAAACAACCUUGAGGUUUCACUUCAGAACCAGCAAACUGUCAAAGAUGACAAAAGAUAGGAAUAGUCAAUUCUGGAUGGAGUUGCAUGAAAAUAGGCAUAUUACUGCCUUGUUGAUGGAAUGUGAAUCAGUAUAAAUAAUUUGGAAUUAUGAAAAUAAAAUGACCAAAAUGUACAUACCCUUUGACUGAGAGAUUCCACUAACAGGCUUAUACCCUAUGGAGGUCAUUGAUGAGAAGAAAUAAACACAAAAACAUUUAUAGAGGCACUUUUUGUAGUAGCAAAGAAUUAAAAACAAA